rnacentral:rRNA from 1 species
GAUAAACGCUGGCGGUGUGCUUUAUGCAUGCAAGUCGAACGGGCUCCGCAAGGAGUCAGUGGCGAAAGGGUGAGUAACACGUUAGUAACCUAUCUUUAAGUGGGGAAUAAUCCGCCGAAAGGUGGACUAAUACCGCAUGUGGUUCUUAUACACAAGUAUGGGAACUAAAGUCGCAAGACGCUUGAAGAGGGGCUUGCGUCCGAUUAGCUAGUUGGUGAGGUAACGGCCCACCAAGGCUCCGAUCGGUAGCUGGUUUGAGAGGACGACCAGCCACAAUGGAACUGAGACACGGUCCAUACUCCUACGGGAGGCAGCAGCAAGGAAUAUUGGGCAAUGGGCGAAAGCCUGACCCAGCGACACCGCGUGGGGGAAGAAGGCCUUCGGGUUGUAAACCCCUUUUAUUAGGGAAGAAUAAUGACGGUACCUGAUGAAUAAGCCUCGGCUAACUACGUGCCAGCCGCCGCCGUAAUAC